UACAUGCAAGUCGAACGCACAGCGAAAGGUGCUUGCACCUUUCAAGUGAGUGGCGAACGGGUGAGUAACACGUGGACAACCUGCCUCAAGGCUGGGGAUAACAUUUGGAAACAGAUGCUAAUACCGAAUAAAACUUAGUGUCGCAUGACACAAAGUUAAAAGGCGCUUCGGCGUCACCUAGAGAUGGAUCCGCGGUGCAUUAGUUAGUUGGUGGGGUAAAGGCCUACCAAGACAAUGAUGCAUAGCCGAGUUGAGAGACUGAUCGGCCACAUUGGGACUGAGACACGGCCCAAACUCCUACGGGAGGCUGCAGUAGGGAAUCUUCCACAAUGGGCGAAAGCCUGAUGGAGCAACGCCGCGUGUGUGAUGAAGGCUUUCGGGUCGUAAAGCACUGUUGUAUGGGAAGAACAGCUAGAAUAGGAAAUGAUUUUAGUUUGACGGUACCAUACCAGAAAGGGACGGCUAAAUACGUGCCAGCAGCCGCGGUAAUACGUAUGUCCCGAGCGUUAUCCGGAUUUAUUGGGCGUAAAGCGAGCGCAGACGGUUUAUUAAGUCUGAUGUGAAAGCCCGGAGCUCAACUCCGGAAUGGCAUUGGAAACUGGUUAACUUGAGUGCAGUAGAGGUAAGUGGAACUCCAUGUGUAGCGGUGGAAUGCGUAGAUAUAUGGAAGAACACCAGUGGCGAAGGCGGCUUACUGGACUGCAACUGACGUUGAGGCUCGAAAGUGUGGGUAGCAAACAGGAUUAGAUACCCUGGUAGUCCACACCGUAAACGAUGAACACUAGGUGUUAGGAGGUUUCCGCCUCUUAGUGCCGAAGCUAACGCAUUAAGUGUUCCGCCUGGGGAGUACGACCGCAAGGUUGAAACUCAAAGGAAUUGACGGGGACCCGCACAAGCGGUGGAGCAUGUGGUUUAAUUCGAAGCAACGCGAAGAACCUUACCAGGUCUUGAC
rnacentral:rRNA from 1 species